CUAGUUAAAUUCCAAGCAGGCAAUACCGAUUUUGUGCUCUGUGCCUGACUAGCAGUAUUUAUUUUAUAGUGCUACCUGACCGAUAGUCAUAGUGUAUCAACGUGGUGCUACAGAGGGUGAGCCGAGAUAGGCCGUGUAGGAGCCUCAAGCCCUCACACCCCCAAACAAUGCAUGACGAUGCAUGUAGCAAUGGCAGAGUAGAGUGAUGGUGAUUACAUGAGAUCGGCCCGUCUUUUCUAUCCAAAAUUCUGCAUGGCGGUGGCAUUCAUCGCUCUGGUGGUGUGGUGACGUAGCAUCCCACCAUGACCACUGAAUUACUGGAUCUCGGAGUUGCUGGCUUCCCGCCAGUAGUCAUGGACUUUCUGUUCCGGGCCAAUUCUAGCAGUCUACGUGGGAUACACGCACGACACGGACACCAUACAGUAGGAUAAGUACUAAAACUUAGAAUGUAAGUACACCUAGGAUAUAAGUAACACUUUAAUAAACAUCACCUACAGUUUUGCAUGUAAAA